UACGGGGGGGCAAGCGUUGUUCGGAAUUACUGGGCGUAAAGGGCUCGUAGGCGGCCAACUAAGUCGGACGUGAAAUCCCCGGGCUCAACCCGGGAACUGCGUCCGAUACUGGCAGGCUUGAAUUCGGGAGAGGGAUGCGGAAUUCCAGGUGGUAGCGGUGAAAUGCGUAGAUAAUCUGGAGGAACACCGGUGGCGAAGGCGGCGAUC
rnacentral:rRNA from 1 species